CCGAGGGCACCCGACUUGGGGCCCUUGGAAGCAUCAGAAGCUCUCCCACGUGGGAGACAAGACAGCCCUGUUUAAUAUUUAAACAGCAGUGUUCGCC
rfam:Myotis brandtii contig182046, whole genome shotgun sequence.